GAUCUGUACGGCGGACGUUUUAACCAAUCGCGUUCGUUUCGCAAUACGAGGUUGUCAUCAUGCUUCCAUCUAGCUGUUGGUAAUGAAUUGCGCGAAAUGCUCGAUCUUUUCGUACCAAGCAGCAGCUAUAGGCACACAUCGAUCAACAUUGCUCCGCGUUUCUCGCGUCUUUUAUUCGUCGAAAGUAAGUCUUGCACGUUAAUAAAUCUCGGGAGUGUCGAGAAUAGUGAUGUACGAUCGCCGGGGCGUAUCAUGAAAACGUCAUUCAGAUCCAAUAGAGCAGACACAGUCACGCGGCUUUAGGGGAUGCGAUGCCUAAGUGAUGCCGCGCUGGAAGAUUUGGCUCGUGCCUUUUUGAAUCAGCUUGAAGAAACGAGAACUCGACUUUAACGAGAUCAGAGAAUGCGUCUUUGCUGCGUCAGAGAAUCCGGCUCGAGCCUGGCAGAGUUGGCGCGAAGAGGUGAAACAGACGACCAGCCGACUCUUAGAGGCUACUGCGCCAGAGGAUCUGGCUCGAGCCGAGUGGGGUUAGCUCGAAGAAACGAAAGCUGAAUGUGGCUACCUUGAUUGGCGGUUUGGUGAGUCAAAAUAAGAAACAUAUUGAUAAUAAACAGACAAAAAGUCUUUCAAUGUAGAAUAUGUUUAUCGAAUAAAUACGAUUUACUUUGC